AUGGAAGAUCCUAAGAAAAACUGUAUGUACGAUGAACACACAAAUGGCAGCCGCACACCUCAUCAAUUUCCCAACUCUCCUCGCCUCUCUCUCUCCCGUCUCGCCCAGGUUUCUGUUAGCCCUAGCCCGUUGCUUCGUCCUCACCUCCUCAGACGCCGACGCCGACGCCUAAUGGAAUCGAUAGCGACAAGCACGGAAGCGCUCAACUGCAGCUUAAUUCGAGCCUUGAAGGCGGGCAGAUUACCUCUUUCCUCUUUACGUUCUACCCAAUCUAAAUCUAAUAGCCUAGUACAGGAAACUUUUGCCCUAAUUUUCUAA
rnacentral:rRNA from 1 species